rnacentral:rRNA from 1 species
GACGAACGCUGGCGGCGUGCCUAAUACAUGCAAGUUGAGCGCUGAAGGUUGGUACUUGUACCAACUGGAUGAGCAGCGAACGGGUGAGUAACGCGUGGGGAAUCUGCCUUUGAGCGGGGGACAACAUUUGGAAACGAAUGCUAAUACCGCAUAAAAACUUUAAACACAAGUUUUAAGUUUGAAAGAUGCAAUUGCAUCACUCAAAGAUGAUCCCGCGUUGUAUUAGCUAGUUGGUGAGGUAAAGGCUCACCAAGGCGAUGAUACAUAGCCGACCUGAGAGGGUGAUCGGCCACCAUGGGACUGGGACACGGCCCAAACUCCCUCGGGAGGCAGCAGUAGGGAAUCUUCGGCAAAGGACGAAAGUCUGACCGAGCAACGCCGCGUGAGUGAAGAAGGGUUUCGGAUCGUAAAACUCUGUUGGUAGAGAAGAACGUUGGUGAGAGUGGAAAGCUCAUCAAGUGACGGUAACUACCCAGAAAGGGACGGCUAACUACGUG